AUUAGAGUUUGAUCAUGGCUCAGAUUGAACGCUGGCGGCAGGCUUAACACAUGCAAGUCGAACGAUGACUCUCUAGCUUGCUAGAGAUGAUUAGUGGCGGACGGGUGAGUAACAUUUAGGAAUCUACCUAGUAGUGGGGGAUAGCUCGGGGAAACUCGAAUUAAUACCGCAUACGACCUACGGGUGAAAGGGGGCGCAAGCUCUUGCUAUUAGAUGAGCCUAAAUCAGAUUAGCUAGUUGGUGGGGUAAAGGCCCACCAAGGCGACGAUCUGUAACUGGUCUGAGAGGAUGAUCAGUCACACCGGAACUGAGACACGGUCCGGACUCCUACGGGAGGCAGCAGUGGGGAAUAUUGGACAAUGGGGGCAACCCUGAUCCAGCCAUGCCGCGUGUGUGAAGAAGGCCUUUUGGUUGUAAAGCACUUUAAGCAGGGAGGAGAGGCUAAUGGUUAAUACCCAUUAGAUUAGACGUUACCUGCAGAAUAAGCACCGGCUAACUCUGUGCCAGCAGCCGCGGUAAUACAGAGGGUGCGAGCGUUAAUCGGAAUUACUGGGCGUAAAGCGAGUGUAGGUGGCUCAUUAAGUCACAUGUGAAAUCCCCGGGCUUAACCUGGGAACUGCAUGUGAUACUGGUGGUGCUAGAAUAUGUGAGAGGGAAGUAGAAUUCCAGGUGUAGCGGUGAAAUGCGUAGAGAUCUGGAGGAAUACCGAUGGCGAAGGCAGCUUCC
rnacentral:rRNA from 1 species